CCUACGGGAGGCAGCAGUGAGGAAUAUUGGUCAAUGGGCGGAAGCCUGAACCAGCCAAGUAGCGUGCAGGAUGACGGCCCUACGGGUUGUAAACUGCUUUUAUCCGGGAAUAACGCGCCUUACGUGUAGGGCUUUGCAUGUACCGUAUGAAUACGGACAGGCUAAUUCGGUGCCAGCAGCCGCGGUAAUACGGGAGGUCCGGGCGGUAUCCGGAUUUAUUGGGGUUAAAGGGAGCGUAGGCCGCAUGUCAAGCGUGCUUUGAAAUGUCCGGGCUCAACCCGGGCCUUGCAGCGCGAACUGGCGGGCUUGAGUCCGCGGAAAGCAGGCGGAAUUCGUCGUGUAGCGGUGAAAUGCUUAGAUAUGACGAAGAACCCCGAGUGCGAAGGCAGCUUGCUGCAGCGGAACUGACGCUGAUGCUCGAAAGCGCGGGUAUCGAACAGGAGUAGAUACCCCAGUAGUC
rnacentral:rRNA from 1 species